rnacentral:rRNA from 1 species
AUUGAACGCUGGCGGCAGGCCUAACACAUGCAAGUCGAGCGGUUGCAGGGAGCUUGCUCCUGGAUUCCGCGGCGGACGGGUACGUAAUGCCUAGGAAUCUGCCUGGUAGUGGGGGAUAACGUCCGCAAACGGGCGCUAAUACCGCAUCCGUCCUGAGGGAGAAAGUGGGGGAUCUUCGGACCUCACGCUAUCAGCUGAGCCUAGGUCGGAUUAGCUAGUUGGUGGGGUAAAGGCCUACCAAGGCGACGAUCCGUAACUGGUCUGAGAGGAUGAUCAGUCACACUGGAACUGAGACACGGUCCAGACUCCUACGGGAGGCAGCAGUGGGGAAUAUUGGACAAUGGGCGAAAGCCUGAUCCAGCCAUGCCGCGUGUGUGAAGAAGGUCUUCGGAUUGUAAAGCACUUUAAGUUGGGAGGAAGGGCAGUAAGUUAAUACCUUGCUGUUUUGACGUUACCAACAGAAUAAGCACCGGCUAACUUCGUG